rnacentral:rRNA from 1 species
GACGUAGGGGGCCAGCGUUGUUCGGAUUCACUGGGCGUAAAGGGUGCGUAGGCGGUCGGGUAAGUCUGAUGUGAAAUCUCCAAGCUCAACUUGGAAAUGGCGUCGGAUACUAUUCGGCUCGAGGAAUGGAGGGGAGACUGGAAUUCUCGGUGUAGCAGUGAAAUGCGUAGAUAUCGAGAGGAACACCAGUGGCGAAGGCGAGUCUCUGGACAUUUCCUGACGCUGAGGCACGAAAGCCAGGGGAGCAAACGGG